rnacentral:tRNA from 2 species
GGAAGUGUGGCCGAGCGGUUGAAGGCACCGGUCUUGAAAACCGGCGACCCGUAAGGGUUCCAGAGUUCGAAUCUCUGCGCUUCCGCCA